rnacentral:lncRNA from 1 species
CUACCUCUGCACAUUGAACCCAACUCAACUCUUGCUUGCAUUAUUUGACCCUGAGAUGCUGUGAGGUAGCAUGCUGGACAUCACUGUCCUCACUAUGCAGAUACAAGUCUAAAGGCCAAAAAGGUGAUUAACUUCUUCAAUGUCAUGGAACUCACUGGCACCUGAUGGGGAUGGCUGGGGAUUCGAUGUUUCCAGACCCAUCAGACUGAUAGAGGACUGAAACUAAGAGGGGAAAAUGGGCUACCAAAUCUGGGCCCAGGAGACUCAGGACUGUCUGUGAAAACAACAACAAAAAAGAUGUUGGUUUUCAUCGGAGUACAUUCUUGCUCGCUGGAAGGGAAGGGGUGAGGGGAAAGGAGCCCCAUCUUGAAUGAAGUUCAGAAUGGGAAAAACCAUCAGAGACUGCUUACUCCAGGCCACAAUUUCACAACUGCAGAUACAAAACAGUGGUGAGAAAUGUGAGGAUGAAUGUGGACACCUUCCAGUGUGAUUCAGAAGAGGCAGCUCCUGUUCAGAUGAUUUCAAAAAAACC